rnacentral:rRNA from 1 species
GUGAGGAAUAUUGCGCAAUGGAGGCAACUCUGACGCAGCCAUGCCGCGUGCAGGAAGAAGGCGCUACGCGUUGUAAACUGCUUUUAACCGGGAAGAAACCCCAGGACGUGUCCUGGGUUGACGGUACCGGAGGAAUAAGCACCGGCUAACUUCGUGCCAGCAGCCGCGGUAAUACGAAGGGUGCAAGCGUUAUCCGGAUUCAUUGGGUUUAAAGGGUGCGUAGGCGGAGCGUUAAGUCAGUGGUGAAAUCCUGCAGCUUAACUGUAGACUUGCCAUUGAUACUGGCGCUCUUGAGUGCGCUUGAAGUGGGCGGAAUGUGCCGUGUAGCGGUGAAAUGCUUAGAUAUGGGACAGAACACCAAUUGCGAAGGCAGCUCACUAAGGCGAUACUGACGCUGAGGCACGAAAGCGUGGGGAUCGAACAGGAUUAGAUACCCUAGUAGUCC